rnacentral:rRNA from 1 species
GAUGAACGCUGGCGGCGUGCUUAACACAUGCAAGUCGAGCGAUGAAGUUUCCUUCGGGAAACGGAUUAGCGGCGGACGGGUGAGUAAUACGUGGGUAACCUGCCUCAUAGAGUGGAAUAGCCUUCCGAAAGGAAGAUUAAUACCGCAUAAUGUUGAAAGAUGGCAUCAUCAUUCAACCAAAGGAGCAAUCCGCUAUGAGAUGGACCCGCGGCGCAUUAGCUUGUUGGUGGGGUAACGGCCUACCAAGGCGACGAUGCGUAGCCGACCUGAGAGGGUGAUCGGCCACAUUGGGACUGAGACACGGCCCAGACUCCUACGGGAGGCAGCAGUGGGGAAUAUUGCACAAUGGGGGAAACCCUGAUGCAGCAACGCCGCGUGAGUGAUGAAGGUUUUCGGAUCGUAAAGCUCUG